AUUAACAUUUUGUUAGUAUACUUCACAGAGAAGUUAUCCAAGUUUAAGUAUGUUACAUGUGGACCUAUUACACCACAUCACAGUGAACACACUGGGGAGAUGUGCUUUUUUGGUAAACUCAAAGGCAUCAGCUCCCUGAUUCAAAGAAAUGUUUCUCAUGUUUGUUCAUUCUAAUUUAUAUUUUCAUUUAAGAUCCUUUAGGUUAAGUUGAAGCUUUUUAAAAGUGAGUUUUGAAAAUUGAGACACAAUACUAAUACUGGAGGAAUUGGUGAGGCCUUAACUUAAAACUUUCUUUGUACUGUGAUUUCCUUUUGGGUGUAUUCUGCCAAGUGAAACUUGUUAAAUUUUUUGUUAACUAAAUUUUUUUCUUAAAAUGAAGACUUUUUCACAA
rnacentral:lncRNA from 1 species